rnacentral:rRNA from 1 species
GACGAACGCUGGCGGCGUGCCUAAUACAUGCAAGUUGAGCGCUGAAGGUUGGUACUUGUACCGACUGGAUGAGCAGCGAACGGGUGAGUAACGCGUGGGGAAUCUGCCUUUGAGCGGGGGACAACAUUUGGAAACGAAUGCUAAUACCGCAUAAAAACUUUAAACACAAGUUUUAAGUUUGAAAGAUGCAAUUGCAUCACUCAAAGAUGAUCCCGCGUUGUAUUAGCUAGUUGGUGAGGUAAAGGCUCACCAAGGCGAUGAUACAUAGCCGACCUGAGAGGGUGAUCGGCCACAUUGGGAAUGAGACACGGCCCAAACUCCUACGGGAGGCAGCAGUAGGGAAUCUUCGGCAAUGGACGAAAGUCUGAACGAGCAAAGCCGCGUGAGUGAAGAAGGUUUUCGGAUAGUAAAACUCUGUUGGUAGAGAAGAACGUUGGGGAGAGUGGAAAGCUCAUCAAGUGACGGUAACUACCCAGAAAGGGACGGCUAACUACGUG